rnacentral:lncRNA from 1 species
GUAGAUGGUCCCUAGGAGCAUACAGUUUUGAGAACUUGACUGAGAUGACUCAGAAAACACAGCAAGGCGGUGAAAAUAGCUCUUGCUUGAUAAGGCAUUUGUUUACUGUGCUUACCUCAAGUCAUACCUGCCCUCUUAGAAAGGUGUCACUGUUUAGAGUUAGUCUAAUCUAGAGAGUGACCAUGUGAGCACUUAGAGGUGGGAAUGUUUAUUUGGAAAUAAUAGGCAGAUUCUGGAAUGUUGUAGUAAUGCUUGUGCCUUUGAGUUGCAGUGUGGCCAAAUGUACAGGACAAAACACAAUUCGAAAAUGAACUCCAGCAUUAUUCUGGGAAAGACAAGGGGAAUCUAUGGAAGCUGGUCAUUCUUCCUAGCUCAGACCUGGAGUAGGAUGAUUGGGCUUCCCAAGGGUGGCAGCACCAGCAAGGCUGGCAGCAACUAUCUCCUGUGGAAAGUCAAGUCCGUGCUUGCUGGGUGCUCCAAGGGAGUUAACUGGAGUCAACAGUGGCCUCCCUGAACUCUGUGGAAAAGACAAGUUGCAUACGCUUCUUCUAUUACAGUGUUCAGUGUUUGGAAAUGAGCAGUCUUGCAUUGUUAUGCAAACGCCAAGGUACAGCUGAAGGACUGUGGCCAGUAGAUUCACAGUUGUGUGAUCCUUGGACUUUUAGAUCUACCAGGUAUGGUACUUCACAGACUUCAUUUCUAGGGAAGUGAUAAACUUUCACAGAAGUUUUGUUUUGAAAUUGAGGGGACUAUAGAAAUUACCUACUCUUAUUUAUGGCUUACAAUUGAGAAAAAUGAGACAAAAGGAGAUUGAGUAUUUGUCUAGAAUCAAGUAUCUGUUUAGUUAAAAGACCCUGUAUGAGAAUCUAGCCUGGCCUAGCAGUAUUUUUUUCUGCUAACUGCAUGCCUUGCAUUGUUAUUGAGUAACAAUAUAUUAUUAUUAUAUAAACAUGGAGGUAAUAAAGUAAAUUAGAUAAUAAGUCGCUCACUCUAAGAUCAAAGCACCACACUUUCACUAUUCACUUAUGCGAUUUGAACAGACUGUGACUGCCAGUUUACUUGACUCUCAGUGGGAUGAGCUGGCAGACUUCAGAGAUGGUGGCUUUUUGAGGAUAAGAUGCAAUUUAUAUGACAGAAUUGCUCAGAGAUAAUGGGUCCCAAUGAGCUGAAAAGAGAAUUUCUUGCCACUCAAGGCUGCUUUGAAUUUGAGUGCAAGUUGUGUCCAUUUUAGUAGUUAGUAUAAAAAGAUGUUGAAAAUCCAAAAUAACUGGUACCAUGUUUCCAAUUUAUAUCAAUGGUAUGUUGGUGCCAAGAGUGCCCACCAAUUAUUCCAGUUUGGCAUUUUGACACUCUUUCCCAUACUAUUCCACAAAUUUGCAACUUGUCGAGCUUUAUUUAUGGCCUCUGGAGAGGUAUAUUACUUCUAGUACUGACAGAGCUAAUCAAUGCCUGAAUGAAUUUGUCUUUAUAAGCAAAGUGAUGCCUGGAGGAUCACUUUUUUGAGGUCACCAUCCUUUUGAAGUGAUCAGGUGGUAUACUGGUUAUCUGCAUCUUUUAAAGUAGUGUUUCUCAACUGUGCUGGUACCUUAGAGUCAACAGAGAACCUCGCAUGAAGUACCAAUGCCUGGGUCUCACCCCUGGUGACUCUAACUAUCCUAGCAUGAGACCCGGGCAUUGGUAGUUUUUUGAAAGCUCCCCAGGUAAUUUAGCAAACUUCUCCUUUUUAAAAGCUCCCCAGGUAAUGCAGCAAGGGUUGAGAGGCAUGGAUGGAAAGUGAUAACCCCUUCACAGCAUUGUGUAAUGAGAGGAGAUGCUUUUAUCAGAAAGUACUCAUGCUUUAGCAGACUUAGAAGCCAUCAUGAAAAAAAGAGUUGUGGCUGACAGUUUUAUUACAGAUGGCUUUAAUAUGAUGGCUAUAUGUGUUAACACUCAGAUGUUCUGUUUUCACCUCAAGGGACUAACUAGAACUUGUUAGUUUAUGUUUAACCUGACAACAGUAAAAAUAUGAAAACCAGAUAGACUUUAGCAACGUUUAUGUUGCCAAAAGAGAUGAAGUUUUAGUUAUUUCUCUUCCAUUACUAUGAGAUUUGACCAAUGUUAAGAGUGACUUCUGCUCAUGUUAAUCAGCAAAGUUUCAGCAUUCAAUCAUUCAUUGAUUCAAUGAAUGAUUUAUCGCUUUAUGUAUCAGGAACCAACCAGUCUUACAAACCAACACACCAGUAUCUUCAUAACCAAAAUUUACUGUGGAAAUAGACAAAUCAUUUAGUAGAGUUACUGUUGGUACCGCAACAUCUUUGAGACAAAUGCUUUAAAGUGUCAUGGGAUAGGCAAUUGUAUGGCUGUUCCAGCAAAGGAAGUCUACCAGUUUUUACUUAUGUAAGACAAUAGCCAUUAGAAAACUUACGAUAAUGACUCAGAGUUUCUAAAAUAAUUAGUAAAAUUCUGUGCAGUGGUUUUAAAUCUUUCUACUUAAGACACAGACUUCCAAAUCAGAAUAUUUUUGGUAGUAAGCAUAAAGGGAAUAAAAGAUAAACAAUGACUAAAGAAAUAAGCACUGUUAUUUAUAAUAGAGAAAAUUAAGUAAAAACACCCAACAAAAGGGGUUAGUUAAAAAGUCUGGCAUAUCCAUAUGAUGGAAUGUUAUAAUACAGAUUAAAUUUUUUUAAGAGAAAAUGGGGAAAUGCUCAUAUUAGGUAAAGAAAAUGCUCUAUAGAUUAAUAGCAAUAGUAUGGUGCUCUCUAAAAUUCAUACAUACUCACGUUGACUCCGAUUUUCUCCAUUCCCUGCACACUUUGGGGUGGUAGCUAAGUCAGGGAGAGCAACGGAUUGCCUCAGUUGUCCUGGAUACUUACUCAGGCACAGGGUGUCUGAGGAUGUGCUUUCCCAGGCCUGGGUUUCCAGUUUCUGGUAAUUCUUUCCAAGCACGAUGCUGGAAUAUCCCGGACAAGACAAUGUGGGAAUGUAACUAAAAGAUUUACUACCUAGCAACGACUCGGCCCAAAGUCAACUGCAGAAGUGAUAUGUCAGCAGUCCCUCACAGCUCCUUUACCUAAUGUAAGUCAUCAUUUCCACUCACUGCAUCAUGCUUUGUAGCACAACACCUGUCUCAAAUCCCUCCAAACCCUUCCCUCAAGGGAAGCUCACCAGACCAAACAUACUUCCAUUUCUUAUGAGUGUUUUUCUCAUUUCUUUUUGUUUUUUCUCAAUAUAAUUAUGUAACAUACAGCAGUGGUUCUCAAAAUGUGUUUUCUUGGGCCUGUAGCAUCAACAUCACCUGGAAAUUUAAACUUCAAAACAUUUUUACUAGUUAACUAUGAUGACUUUCUUUCCUUUAUAAUGAUAUUUCUCACUCUACAAUUUAUAGAACUAUGAUAGCUAAAAUGUACGUAGCUCUUACUUUGUGUUGGACACUCUUCCAAGUGCUUUCUAAAUAUUAACUCAUUUAAUCCUCAUAAUCACCUUGUGAAAUAGGUGCUAUUAUUUCUCCAUUUUAUAGAGAAGGAAACUGAACACAGAGAAGAUAAGUAACUUGUCAAAGUCUUUCACCAUAAAGAAUGCUCAUAGGAGCAAUACUGGAGCAAAUAUAAAAUGUCAAAGUGGUUAUUUCUGGGUGUGGGACUACAGAUAGCUUCAACUUUCUUCUACGUGCUUGUCUGUAUUUUCUAAAACAAAUAUGUAUUAUGCUUGUUAUCAGAAAACAAACACCACCAAAAAAUUAUUGAAAAGAACUAAGACAGCAGUUUCAGAGAAGACCUGGAGUAAGGGUGAGCUAGAACAGGAGAAAGAGGAGUUGUAAUUUAUUAGAAACCUUCUCCCUCAGGUUAGGUCUUCUGGGAUCCUGGCAGCCACUGAGCAAGUGAGGAAAUAAAGUGCUCCACGUGUGGGUGGGUGAGCAUCAGAACUGGAAAUCCAGGGAGGGCAUGACAUUGAGAAAUCUGAUUUUUCUAAUGUCUUAACAGGUUUUGAAACUUAUUAUCUUUGCAGGCAGGCAGUGGUAAAGUGCAUUUUAUCACAGUGUGUCCAGGAGACAUUUGAUGGAGCAGAACCCAGCUCUCUGCAUCUGAGGUAUAAGGAAAGUUUGGCCAUAAAAUAAUGCCCUGACUCAUCUUUAAUUAAGUGUGCAGUGUGGGAAAGGAAUUAGUGUCUUCCAGUGUAUGGGCAGUAUAGAGAGACAGCUAUAAGUUUUCAAAAUAGCCCAUUAUUAGCAAUCCGCACUGAAUCGAUUGGUACCCACAGCUCAGUCAGCCCUUAAACAAGCUGGACAAUAGCUGAAGUAAUUAUCUGGGGUGAAUUAUUGCCAUUGUAAAAUGUAAUCAAUGUUUUAUUACAGCAAAAAGAGAUGUUUUUUCUUAAUUUCUCUCUUCACUCCACCUCUCCUCAGCCGGAUCUCCUUGCCAGAGCUCUGCAAGAAUGAUUUUUUGUUUCCGCCCCCACGUUGGCAAGAGAGUCUCAGGCAUCUGAAUGCAGCAGGAUAGGACACAUCUUGUAAAGGUUUUCCAUUUUAAUAUCCCUUAAUGACCAAUAAUGAAUUCUUUAUAGUUAAUCUGCUGUUCUCAGGAAAACAAUCUAGAUGGUUAAAAAAAUCAAUCAUUAAUGAGCAGUAAAUGACAGCUCCCCAACAACACAGCUGUAUUUUUGUAAAAGUGAUUAAACAUUGUCUGCAUUCAUAAUUGCAUGGUUAAUAAGAAUGUUGAGCACCAAGUCAAGCAUUGUUGCUAAUGAUGACAGAUUAUGAUGCUACAAAUGCUUUGGAGUUAUGGGGCUAAAUUUUCAAAGGCAGUUCCUGGAACAGCAUGCACACAGACCCACUAAGUAUUCAAUUUGCAUGGACCAUUACCAGGUUUGUGCAUGGCAUUUGGGAGCUUUGCAGUUGAGAGUCUUUUGAAAAUCUGGCCCAUUAUGACAGAAAGCAUCUGUAAUUAACAGCAACUGAUCUCCCUCUGCCCAGCAUUGGUGAAAGGUGUAAAAUGCUCUGUGUGUGGUUUGAUGGAGCCCAAAGCCCCUUUGAUAGGCUGAAAGGAAGGCAAAAAGAGUCUUUAGGGAUGUAAUUCACCCUUGGAUGUAGUCGUGAAUAUCAGAGUUUUGCAAGCAGGUGAGAAAGUGGGCAAGUUAUUCAAAAGGGGACUUGAUAAUACUGUCAUUGAUUAUUUGCCUCUCCCAUUUUGGCCUUAAAUAUACUUACUAAAUCUCGGGAAUUCCUGGAUUAUCAUUCGUAGGUCUAACUAUUUAAAAUUUGAGAUUGUCCCAUGGUGCUGAGGGAUGAAUUGCAAUCUUUAUGAAGCUGUGGGCAGCGUGAGUCACUCAGUGAUUGAGCAAGCCACAUCUGCUGCUCAGUCUGUCUGUACUCUGAUCAGGUAUGAAGCAGUUCCAUGUAUGAAGCCAUACAUAGUCACAAUUUGUUAGGAAAAUUGCAUGCUAAAAGGGAAUUUAUGAAUUUGGGGAUUCUUGAAAACAUCUUGUAUCUCUCUGGGAUGUUGAAGGUCUGAUGGGCAGUUGGGUAACAUUGUGUCUUGUACUGUUAUUUACAUAUUCCAGUUUGUAUGGAUAUCUUAUCUCGACAGUACUUCGGCCUAGAGAACAGGAACAAUAUAUAUUAUUACUUUGACUCUUGUUUGUUACAGCACCUCACUCAGUGCUGCUUUUUCUGGAUCAGCCAGCCAUUGACUGAGCAGAGAGUUACAGAAUCUCACAGUCUGCAAGACCAACUGGCAUGGGAUUAAGAGUAUGGUUUUAAGAUGCCUGCGUUUGAAAUGCUACUGCCAUUCACUAGUGACUUUCUACACCUCUUAGGGCCUCACUUUUCUUCACUGGUAAAGUAGGAGUGAUAUUAGUGGGAACUUGUUAGGGUUAUUAUGAGGAUUCAGUGAGAUAAGUAUUUGAAACUUUCAGCAGAGUGACUAGGACUUAGUGUAUGCUCCUUAAAAGUUAAUUGUUCAUGUCUUUAUCAUUGUUGAGGCCUCAGGGCUAGGUCUUGAGUGAGUAAGUACCAGAGCUGAGUCUGGGAUCUCUUUAGCUGGGCUAGGUCAUUCCUUAUAGAUCUAAGAGGCAAUGAGGUGCCAACUGUUCUUGCCCCAGCCAUUUGGUCUCCUCAUGGAAGUCCCAGACAUCAUGGAGUAGACAAGAGCUGCCCCACUGUGUCCUUUCCAAAUUCCUGACCCACAGAAGCCAUGAGCAUAAUAAAAUGGUUGUCAUUUUAUGCCACUGAAUUUAGAGUAGUUUGUUAUGCAGCAAAGAUAAUUGGAACAAAGAAUCACAAUUUGACCACCAUAGUUUGGAGAUUAUUUAGGCCUAAAGAGGUUAGAUAAUCAUUUUAUUCAAACAAGGACUUAAUGGUAGAAUCAUUCUUAAGCACUGGGUUUCAGGCUUGAAGCUGCAUGCACUAUUCAUUACAUCAUGUACCUUCUUAUCUCUUGAUGUCAGCUCUACAUGUUUGUAUAGUUAAAACUUGACUUCAGGCCUCUGUUCUCAAGUCAUACACAUUCUAAGAAGUACUCUGUUCAUAUAGUAAGCCAUGAGGAAAUGAAUUACUUAUAAGCCUAGCAGAUAGGAGUCUAUUCCAGACUUUAGCUAGUGAGAGAUAUUGGGAGCUCUUAGAGAAGAGACAGAGACAAAGAAAUGGAAAUGGAGAGGAGGUGAGACCGUCUGCUGAGGUUGGAGCUUUGCAGAGGAGGAAGUGGAAGCAGCACAGCAGGAGAAAAUGAUGAGGCACUGGUGGAAAAGAAGGGUGGAAAUUGCUUCAGCUCUAUUGAGGCAAACAACUGUGUGCUGACAAGAAGAAGGUUGACGAGCGGCUUUAGCCAGUCUCUUACUGUCUGCAGCUAAAGGGGAAGAGAGAGGGUGGCUGCAUAUGGAGCAAGGCGCACAGGGAGUCAGCAUGAGAGGAGGGAGAAAGCUGCAGAGGGAGGGGAGCAACUCAGGAAGUCUAUGGAAGCAGCAGGGUGAGCUCUACUGAGCAGAGAGAUGGGGAGCCCAGCAAAGAAGCAGGGGAGCACUUGGCCCUAACUGCCCAAAAAAAAUAGGGUAAAUUGGAGACAGUGGGAGAUGAUGAGGAGAAUAAAAUAAAAGAACAAACAAAAAGUUCAAAGAGAACAUUUGGGAUGAAAGUUAAAGCAGUAUAGAGUAUCUGGAAGAGAUGGAAAAAAAUGGGGAUUAAAACAUAUUUUGGGUGAAAAUAGUGAGUUGAUUCAAUUUUUGAUAAAAGAAAAUAGUUUGGAUGAGAGUUUGAGUGGCAUGAUAUAUUUUGAAUGACCCACUUACAAAGGCCAUAGUGUUUUUCUACAAUAUUCCUGAAAGUGAAGUUUAAUAUGUCAUUUUAUUAUAGGAGAAAUUACACGUAUAUAAAUUUUAAAAAUGGAUCGGCUUGGAAUUGUAUUUUCUUGGAUUACUAGUGGAAAGAAAUAGCAUUAAAGAAUAAAAGCCUAUAAUUGUAAUAGAGCAACAAAAAUUCAAUAAGAGAGUGCUCAUUGUCUAACCAAUGCCUGUAUUUGAGACCAAAGAACACCAGAAACACAAGGGGUAAUUUAUCUAGCUCAUAUGGAAGAUCUUUCCCAUAUCUGGCCUUUAUAUUUUGACUUGUUAGUGUAUUAAAUCUGAAAUAUGAAUGCAGAAGAUGAUGAUGCUUCCUGUGUGCCAGGCACUGUCCUAAGCGUUUUACACAUAUUGACUAAUUUAACCCCUCAACAAUCACUUGGGGUUAGUUAGAUGUCUUUGAUUAUGUCCUUUUUGUGGAUAAAGAUACUGAGGCACAGUUCUCUUUUUUUUUUCUUCCUCAUAGCCACCUCUAUUUCUAAGUCAUUGGGAAAGAUUAGAAAGAAAACAUUAAGUGUGAUAAGUAGUAAAAAGCAGUUGUCUGUAAGGUCCUGGUCAUCCUCGGAACCUUGUCAGCCCCACUCACUGAGGCUCUGCUCAGGAGUAAAUCGCAUGUCUUCAUGUCCCACCCUCCUAAUGUAUUUGUUUAUUAAAGGAAUGAUUGGUAUCAUUAAUGGAAUGUUUUUUAUCUCUGCUUGUGGGAGAGCAGAAUGUUAUAAGGCCACCUAAGGAUGGGGUUUUAUUCUUAGUGGCUGUCUGAUAUAAAGGAAAGAAUAGGAACUCUGGAGUUAGACAGGCCUCUGACUUUGUAUCUUGGCUCUACUUCUUAUCAUUCGUUUGAUUUUGGAUAAUUUAUUUAUCAUUGUUUUAUUCACUUGUAAAAUCGGGAUAAUACCAUCCACUUUGCAGGGUCAUUGUGAAGAUUAAAUGAAAUGAGAGCUGUUCAGUGCCUGGGAAAGUGCUUGAGAAUUAGUAGAGGUUCAAAAUGUGUUACUUCUGGUUUUUUAUAGACCUGAUAAUUGGUGAUUGCAGAUAUUUGAUAUUAAUUAAAUCAAAUGCUGAUAAAGCCUGUGUAGGUGAGGCUGAAAACUUCAUAUUUUCAUAAGCGCUCGGAUUAUAUGUCUUCAUUAUGAAAUCAUCACUGGAUGAAAAGGUAGAAAAUAAUUAUGAGAUUUAGGGAAUGAUAAAAAAAAAAACCCUAAAAGAGAAAGCUAUAAAUUUCAAGAGAAAACUUUUAAUUUCAAAACCCUUCUGUGGUAGACAUAAUAUUGACUCCCAAAAUGUGUUUACAUCAUAAUCCCAAAUAUCUGUGGAUAUGUUAUCUUAUGUGGCAAAAGGAACUCUGCAGAUGGGAUUAGGUUAAAGUCGUUGAGAUGGGGAGAUUGAUUACCCUAGAUUAUCUGAGUGGGCCCAGUCUAAUCACAUGGGUCCUUAAAAAUCAGAGAAUCUUUCAGACUGUGGUCAGAGAAAGAGACCACAUGGAGGUGGAGGAUGGUCAGAGAAAUGGAACAUUACUGGCUUUGAAGAUGGAGGAGGAAGCAAUGAGCCAAGGAAUGAGGGCAGCCUCUAGAAGGCAGAAAAGGCAAGGAAAGUUAUUCUUCCCUAGAAUCUCAAGAAAGGAACACAACCCUUCCGACACCUGGAUUUUAGUCCAGUGAGAGCCAUGUUGGACUUCUGAUCUUCAGAAUUGUAAGGUAAUAAAUUUGUGUAUAUAUUAGUGCUACAGCUGUCUUUGUUGUCAAGAUGCCUGUUGGGAAUAGUCUUAACUUUGGAAAUUUCUUAGCCCUUGUGCCUCCCUCCUAAUAGAGUCCUUUUGUAGAUAUGCUAUGGCAAGCCCCCUUUGGAGUGUCUUUUAUUUUUCUGUAGCCUGCCCCCUUUUGACUCGCAGAUAAACCACCACAGUCAUGUUUGCACUACAGGAUUGUCCACUUGGUAACAGUUGAUUUGAACAGAAGACAUUACUUGGCUCAAUCUGGACCAAUCUGAAUGUCUUUCCCAGGAGUUUGGGUUGGGUUGAGGGAGGUGUUAGUCUCAGCCUCUGCAUGUGGCUUGAACUGAGGUGGUGUAAACUUGUGGGGUGGCCAUGGAUAUGGAGAAGGUAAAAAUUGGGUCUGUAGGGAGAGGAGCCUGAGGCUCAUGGACAUAGCAGAGCAGAGAUGAGGGUCUGAGAGAAAGACCAAGAAGGUGGUAGCCUUGUUCCUGCUGGCUCUCAGUCAACAUUUGUACCUCUGCUGGGGCCCAGGCAUGUCCUGCUCUGGAUCCACAAGAUAACAUUGUACCAUUAUAAAAAAUGUCCUUUUUUUCCUUAACCUUGCUAAGAGGUUUUCUGUUGCUUGCAAACAGAAGGGGCUUCACUAAAACACCCACUGUGAGGGAGAUGAAUCAAGAAGAUGGGAAGGAGAUUCCAUUAAUGUCAUUUUGAGUCCUCAUUCAUGCUUUAUUCCAAGGAAGUUUAUAGAAAGAUUCAGAGCAACAUGAUUAUUCUGUCAGCCAGGGAGCAUUUUGUGCUUCUACAGCUAUAGCUGGAGCUCGUGGCAGGGCCCACCUUAUGGGGGUUGAGGCUCAUGGCUACAGACUGCUUCUAUAGGCUCUGGCCAAAGGCAUCUGAUUCUCACAUUCAAAAUUAAUGUUGGCCGAGGGGUAUUUUUAAAUCAGGAUUUUAAAAUUUCAGCUGACCUUGCUGCAGCAAGCUUCAUCAUGCAAACAUGGCACUUUAAAGACCCCACCUUAGUGUUUUUCUGUAGUUAUUUAAUUUUAAGAAUAUGCCUGGUAGAGAUUAUGGUUUCUUGGAGGAGAACUUGCAGUCAGAAAUGAUGAUUUCCUAAUUAUCAACUCAUAGAAUUUAAAAAGCAACUGUAAAAAUCAUGUUAUUCAACUCUUUAGUUAUACCGACAAGGAAAUAUGCUCAGAAGGGUUAAAUGGCUUACUUUUGGUCUUGAUUGGGUCUUAUGUAUAUCUAUAUGCAGAAUUACCAAAUUCAUGAUUAUUUAGAGAAUGAAUUAAGUAUCAGAGAACACAGAAGUUUUUGGACUAAAAUAUUUCUAUGAAUACUAACUGAUUUUUAUAAUGCAUAGAAGAUAUUACCUUUCUUUUUAUGAAUUGGAAUUAUUUCUAUAAACCCGAGUAUGCCCAAAGAAAUACAAUUUCUUUGAUGGACUGGAUGUUAUUAACAAGAGGUCAAAGAACCAUAAAGGUAAGUAUCCAUGCAUUCAUUCAUCUCCCUCCCCCUCUCCCUCCCAUCCUCUCUUCUUCCCUUCUUUUCCUUCCUUCUUUUCAAUUAUUUAUUGAGUACUUACCAUAUAUCUAACAAUUUCUAAAACCUGGAGAUACAAUAGAAUCAUAUGCCUUCAUGUGGUCUUCCUCUAAUGGAGACUGCCUUUGUGGUGCUUACAUUUAAGUUGGGAAGAACGGAAAGUCAACAUGUAAAAAAAUUUAUGAGAUAGUUUUGGACAAUGAUAAAGUGCUAUGAAGAAAAUAAAAAGUGGUGACAUCAUAGAGAAUAAUAGGCUCUGGAGUAAUAUAGGGUAUAAUUUCUCAGGAUGAGGAGGUAACUUUUAGCUGAUCUAUUUAUUCUAUUCAUCUAUUGUCUAUCUAUCUACCCUAUCUAUCUUCUUUGAUUACAUAAGACAACAUGAUGACUCCUAUUUAUUCUCAGAAAACAGAGAUUAAAUCUCUUUCUCUGGUCACAGAGUUCAUGAUUGUAAAUCCAGUUUUCUUUCCAUUGCGUCAGCUGCCACCUCAAAAGGGAAUUGGAUUGGGAGACUGUUCUCAAAGAAUUCGUAUUCAAGUUGGACAGAGAAAACACAAAGUAUUUUAUGGGAUAGUAUCUCAAAGUACAAGUUGGUUUCUUCUUUUUCUCCACAAUACUCACAAAAUCCCUUUACUUGUAUCCCAAGGACUUCUUCCUUGGCCUCACUCGGUCCCCCAGAGCCCCCACACAUGGACAUGAGACAAAUCAGAAACAAACCCUGCAAAGCUCAACCACUCUUUGGGAAGUGGCUGGUCAGUGUAAGGGAAAGAUUCAUCAGAUGCUCACUUUUAGUGCUCAUUUUCCCCCAUCUGAGAGUCUAUACUGUCAAACCUCAACUGUUACUGAAGCAAACACCGUGUGUCAUCAGUUUCAGCCAGCUGUGAGGAAACUGAGUCACCACUGACUUAUUGCUUUCGUUGCUGGAUGUUGAAUAUCACUAAUCCCAAGGAGUCUUUUCUUGUCCGGUGGGCAGUCAUGCUUGUCUAUAUGAGACGAUUUGUCUGGAUCUGACCUAUUCUGUCUGCUAGCCCAGGAGGAUGCAAACUCUGCUGACAAGGAAGGGAAGGGAAGACUCAGGACCUUGAGAGAUGAUGGUACAUGAAGGGGAAGCUUCAGUUCUGAACAAGAUAAGGCUAGAUAUCCUCAGAAAUCACUAGUUGUAUUGUUUAUUGUCAUAUUGGUUACCUAUUGCAACAAUAAUGCCUCAUAACAAACCACCUCACAUAUCAGUGGCUUAACACAAUAAGCAUUUAUUUAGUCUGUGGGUUGGUGACAUAGGCUGGACUUGGCUGAGUUGCUCUGGUCUCAGCUAGGCUCAUUCCUAUGUCUGGCAUUGGGCUUUUGGGUCAUCUAAGAUUGUUCCUGCUGGGAUGACUGGGCCCACUCAGCUCUUCACAUGUCUCUCAUUUAGUAGGCCAGCCAUGCAUGUUCUCAUGGCAGUUGUAGAAGACCAAGAGCAAUCAAGGUCAACUGUGCAGCCAUCUUAUUGGCCAAUCAGGUCUCAUGACUAAGCCCAGAGUCAGCAUGGAAGAGAACUGCAGAUUUACUUUACAAAGAACAUGGAUUCAAGGAGAGGCGAAGACUGAAUUGAGGCUAUUAAUACAAUGAGUAACACCAUGGGUUAUACAGGGUUGGAAUGUUAAGGGUUAAUUAUCUACCAAACAGUCUGGGCAUAGUUUGAAGGGUAGAUUGGAGUAGGGAGAAACUAGAGGCAGGGAGCAUGGACAGGAACUUUUCUGGGAGAACAAUAGCAAUGCCAGAAUCUAGGGUGACUGGGAAAAUGGGAGUGGAGCGGUGGAAGAUAUUGCCUAACUUGGUUAUGCGAUGAAUGGAGAAGGGCAGGGGCAGUGCAAAGGAGAUGGAGGAGGCAAGUUGACUCAGAAGUCAGUGAUCUGGAGGGUGAUAAUAACCCAACAGGCAGGUAACCCUCUCAUGAGAAGUAGGCGAAGGCCUGAAGAUAACUUGUGAAAGAAGAGAGAAGCUUGGUGACAUGAGUAGGUCAGGUAUGUGGGAGACAGAGCAGCAGGAAAGCAAUGUGAUGGGAGGGUUGUCUGAUGACAGCUGUAAGGCAGGUGGGAGGAUAAUGACUGUGAGUGCUGGAGGUGUGGUAAGGCCAGGAGCUUGAAGCUCAUGGACCAUAAUUUGGAUUCACCAUGUUGGAGAAUUGAGAGUUUUCCAGGACUCUGAGGAGAGUUUGUAUGUCUUCCUCAGUUUCCCUCCAGUGCCCUUAAGGCUGGAGCCUUAUCUAAGCAUCAUGCUCGAGGAGACCCCUGCAUAGGUGGAGGCAUUAUGAUGUGCCCAGACCAUGACACUUUGUUUCCCUACGGUUUCCAGGCCCUGCUGCAAGUCUAAUCAAUUAUGUCAGUGCCACUGCCGCCUUUCCCAGCUCACAUUCAGGUGCUCUCUGAGUGUCUCUCUUUCUUUUUAUCCUAUCUAGUUCAAUAAACAAUUGUAAAAUCUGGCAAUCAGGAUGAAGCCAAGCAUUCUAAAUCUUAAUUUAUUUUUCUGUUUUUCCAAUAAAAAGGUCGUCUCAAGACACCCAAAGUGGAAAGUAUUUUGAAUUACUUUCUUUGACUGACUGUCUUGAAUUCCUCAGGAUCACUGUUGAUAACAUUCAGAAUGAUUUCUGGGACACAGCACUAGGCUUAAAAUAGUUUGAAAGCUUCUGCGGCAACCACCUGAUAUGAGAAGUGAUUUGUUACCCCUGUUAAGGAAGAAUCAGAUGUCAUGUUAUACAAGGUUAAUGAGCAACAACUGUUUCAUAGCUUGAGCACGGCCCAUACUGCAGAACCUCGUUUCUCCCUGCUCCGGAGAGAGCUGCAGUCUUGUAGGUAAAAUAGAAGUUACUAAAUACAGACAUUAUUUUUUGUAUGUCUUAGGUCCGCCCAAUCCAUCUUUGUCUCCUUUGUCCUUGUGAGGCACCUCCUGCCAUUUGAAGUAAACUGAGUCUCUGUAAAGGGCCAACUUGUUUCCACAUUGUCAAGGAGACCAGAAAAUAGAACCUGGGUAGCAAAACAAAGCUUUUGUGGGAGUGGGUGUUGCUUGAAUGUGGAAAAUCUGAAAACACGUAGAUUUCCUGCUCCUUCCCGGAGCUGACUUCUGCUGGGGUUUGCUACUGGAAGACUGAUGCAUUUCUCUUCUCUUCAGUCUAACAUUAACCAGCCAUUGUGUAAUCACCAAUCAUGAAAUAACUGGUUCUAUGCGAAUAGUUCACAAAGUAUGGUCUGUGGGCCUGAGGCAUCAGAAUCACUUGUAUAAAAAUCUCUGGGUCUGGGUCUUGGGAAUCUACCUUUUUUUUUUGGCAUGCAUUCCAGGUAAUCUCAUACUCCUUGAUGGAUAAGAAUUCGCUAUCCUAAGGGGCAAGUGUACAUUUAUUUGUUAUUAAUUAUAUGCUUCAAAAGAACAGAUAGCAGCAGCAAAUGAUUAAAAAUGUGAUCCUUGCUCGUGGCUCUGUAAAACAGUCUAAGCUGACUUCAGACUUGAAGGCAUUAUCUCACAGUCAUUUUUCAUUUCAUCUUUGGUUGUUUUAGCAGAGUGUGGUGGAGAUGACUAGUUAUUCACCCACAAUUCAUUCUCUCCCUUGCAUGUAACACACAGGUGUUGCUGGGAAGUGGCUGCCCAGUCAUGGACUAUGUGGCUAACUUGAAUCUAGGAAUGGCCUAGUGACUAGUACUCCCAACGGAAUGGAGCUGAAAUCAUGUGGCCAUUUCUUCCCCUUCUGCCUGAGUGAAGAGUAUUCUGAGGCCCAAAUAGGGGAUAAUUGGGUUGCUGAAUCACCAUGUGCCAUGAGUACCUGCUCUAGACUUUUACCUGAGUGAGAAGUAAGCUUUCAGAGUGUUGAGCCCCUGAGAUUUUGAGAUGUUAACAGCUUUUGUUACUCCAGGUAAUUCGUGGAGUUUGGCCUAUUAUUUAGGUAGUUCUAGAUGAGAACUAUGUUCUUUCCCAGCUCAGAUUUCAAAUACAUACGGUUUGUUCAAACAACAUAGUCCUCUGCUGAAAAGUAGGGAAUCAUCUCUUUGGGGAAAGAGCACCAGUCUUAGAAUUAGGAAAGUGGGUCCAAGUCCAAGUUCUGCCACUUACUGGCUGUGUAGUUUUAGACAAAUCACUCAAUUAUUCUGCGCCUCAGCUUCUUCCAUUAUUUAGAGAGAAUAAUAAUACUGUAUUAUUUGCCUCUCAAGGUGUGUGUGAAGGUCAUGCAUUCACUCUUGAAAACACUUUGUAAAUUAUGAAGUGCAUUAUACAAAUGAGAGGGAUGACUUGGUUCUUUUUUUUACAGAGCUAGAAUUAAAUACUAUUUUCUGGCUUCAGUAUUUUCAAUAGCUUCCCGAGUUUCAGCUUUGUCCUUUAGAAAAUAGGGAUAAUAAAGCCUACUUGGGUUAUUGUGAGGAUAAAAUGAGAUACUGUACUUGAUGGUGUCUAGCACGACACCCAACAUAUUACAGGAACUCGGAAAAAUGUUAGCCCCUUUCCCUGCAGCACUGUGUGCUUGGGGGAGGUGAUUCAGGGAGAGUCCAUGUAGACUGAUGAUAAAUACGAACCGAGUUCUCCUUUUGCUUAUGUUUUACUUACCUCUGUAGACUGGAGAGAUCACUUUCUCUGUAUCAUAUGUCCCAUUCUCCCCUGAACUUGAUGGUGGCCCCAUGGCAGCAGGAAACGUGGCCACAGAGGAGCCGUGGGCCUGUUUGUAGUGUUGCCUGCUUCCAUUUCUUCUCCCAAAAAGUUGGGAACUCUAGUCAUGGUGAGUCUGAUGGGGUACCUUCUGAAGUCUCUGGCCAGCCAGAGCCCUGAAAUUCAGACCUCGUGUUCCUGAAUGCUUUCUCACCUGCAGCUCUUCCCCUUGAAACUCGUCUUUUCCCUGUUCCGUCUUCACUUGGCUUAUUCUUUACCGUGGAAUCUUCUUAACUUGGACUAUCCUCAAUCUAAUUCACUUGACUAGAAGUUCAAGACACAGAAAUGUGAUUCUAAAAUAAGUUUUUACAAUGGUAAUGAUAAUUCCUGCAGUUUAUUUCUAUACUGUGCUACCAUUUUCAAACUACUUUCACCUGAGUAAUUUUGUUUGUUCACUAUUGGUUUUCAUGGACUCACAGAAGCCAUUCUUUCCUUUGCUUGUCUUAGGUGCAUUUAUUGGGCGUCAUACCAUGGCAGGCUGCUGGGAGGAUGGGGUAUAGUAGGGUGUAGGGGACAGAGUACUAAUAUUUAUCCAUUAUGUAUUUUUUUGUCAAGUUAGUUUCAAUGAGAGUUAGCUAAUUUAAUUCUCUCAAUAAUUUUUCUGAAGUGUCUCCAGCGCCUCGCCCAAUACUUACGGGUGACCUACUGUAAAAUUCUGUAGAGAGGUUAAACGCUUGUCCAAAGUCAAAAAGCCACUUGGUGCUGGAGAUGGGAUUUAAAUUCUGGUCUCUGACUCCAAAGCCCAUGCUCUUGCCUGGUGUUACUGUCUCUAGCAGGUGGCUCAAGGGAGACAAGUAGCUGCUGCUUAAAUAGUUCCAUGUCCGGUUAUUUGGGGAGCAAAGACAAACAUUUGAGUAGUAAGACAAGGGAGCCCUCCUCUCAUCUUCUCUCCCUUCUUCUUGCAACAUUUAUUAUCUAUAAGGUGGCACCCAGUAUUCCAGGCUCUGGGGUACAGACUUCCCCCAUCCUGCAGCCACCUGUCUAAUGGACAAGACAGAUAAAUUGAUAAACAGCCAGGCAAAUAAGCUAAUGUGUGGCAAUGAUAACUGCCAAGAACAAUAAAGCAGGGCAAGGGAGUAACAGUGACGGAGCUUCUGUGUUAGGUGUGGUGCUUAGGAAGGCGACAUUUGAGUAGGUGACACCUGAGUAGGUGACAUUUGAGCAGAGACUUGAAUGAAGAGAAAGCCUGCAAGGGAGUGGGGUGGGAAGGGGAACAACACAUGCGAAGACUGACUGAAACCAGCUAAGUGUUUUGUAAGAAGGUCAGAGUGUACCUGGGUUGGUGUAAGCCCAGGAGGGUGGUGCGGGUAAAACUGGCAAGUUCAGGAGAGGCCUGUGGGCCUUGGUGAAGAUGUUGGAUUUUGUUCUGAGUGAGGUUGGAAGCCAUUCAAGAAUUUUGAGCAGAGAAGUGAUAGGUUCUGACUUAACAUUUAAAAAUAAUCACUAUGGCUAUUGUGUGUAGUUUAGAUUUUAGGGGGCAAGGAGCCCGGUUUAGAGUCUAUUGCAGGCAACCAUGUAUGAGAAAACCCAAGGUGAAUGGUAUCAAAAACAAAUAUUUCAACACUUCAUUCUUUCACUUUCUUUUAUCUUUGGAUUUUUUAUUUCAGUUCUUUGUAAUUCUCUUUAAAUUUAUUAAAUUUCUACUAUGUUCAAGAUACUGUGAAAAUUGCCAUUUGUGUCUUUAUCCCUUUCUUUGAAACUUUUCUUACAAUCUAGAUUUUUUUUACCUAAACCAAAUUACACAUUGUUCCACUUAUCUUAACAGAGGUAGAAAGAAAUCGAUUGCUUUGGUUUUCCGAUAGCACAAACCUGGCUGCAGAUCUGAAACAGAAUGAACUGGCAUUAGAGUGAUAGCAGGCCAGCCUGCCAACAGCACCCUUUCUCAUGACAGCAAGCUAAUGCUGGAAAUGGUCAGGACAAAGGUCUAAGUUCGUAAUCAACUGCAAACGUGGACUCUUCCCUUCGGAUAGCACUUGUUCUCCUCCAGCUGAAGCUAUACUGGCCUCCCUUCAGCCAUGAAAACAUUCAGAUGUAAAAAAAAAAAAAAAGAUGCGUCUUGAACACUUAACCAUAAAAAGAAAAGGACAAGAAUGGAUGUUUUCUUAGCAACUACAGUGCUGGAUCAUCACAUAUCUCAUCUGAUCUUAACACAAGUACUCUGUGAGUUCCAAGGCACAUAUAAAAUGCCUACAGAUCUCAACAAGAAAAUGGGAUGUUUCUCUGCUAUCAGCUAAAGCUGCUGUGACCAUAAAACGAAAAAAUCACCUAUUGUCUCCUUGCUCAUAAAGAAUGCCCACUAAAAUUGGUCCAGUAUCUUAUCUCUCCAUCCAGACAGUGCUUGUUGCUAAAUACACAGCCUGUUUUUACAGUCUUCACUGAACUCUGGUUUCUGCCAUUUUCAGUGGGGGGAAAAUUUGUAUGAAAAGUUCAUAAGUAAUGUGCAAAUGGGCUAUAUUUUUGCAACUUGCUUUCAUUGUCAUCUGGGAUCCAUCGAGAUUCUUCUGGGGAGACUGAACACCGUUCUGUGCUGCUAGUCUGGAGGAGUGAGGAGAGAAAGCAUGACCCUACCACUUGGAUGAGAGUUUCUGACAUUGCAAGGGCAAAGAUUCUGAACAUCAAAGAUAUCCUUGAUCAUAGAUCUUUGAAAGCAACUCUAAAACUUUCAGAGUGGACAAAAAGAGGCCUUUCCCAUCUCCACUGAGUCCUGAGAAAUAAGAUGUAUAUUUGAGAUGCAGCAAGAAAGACUUUAGAUUCUUAACUUUUGGGAAGGUCACAUACCCCUUUGAUAAUUAGAUAAAAAUUAUGAACAUUUUUCACAGAAAAAAUAUCCAUAAAGACACAUACAUAGAAUUUUGAAAACUUGAGGGUUGAUUUAUAAAAACUUGAAAGUGUUUGUUCCCUGAAUACUUCUCUGGAUUGUUUAGGGGUCCUGGACCCCAGGUUAAGAAUCCCUGGAACUCUGAGGACAAUUAUGGAAAUCUACCUUGACAUCUCUGUCAAGCUGUGUUCCCCAGCUACACUUACCUAUCUUAUAUGCAGGGAGAUGUUAAGAGUAAUAACCUGUGUUAUGUGCCUUUUGUGUCAAUCUGCCAAUUCAGGAGCUCCAUCUUCUGCAAAAUCCUUUUCCCUCCCCCCACGUAAUUAUGUCUGAAAGUCCCCGAGACAUUUCUGUUGUGUUCAUGAACAAGCCCAGACAGUGGUCACAUGACGUCCUCUGGGUCCUGAUGCCUUUGCUGGACACUGAUACCCUCUCUGUUGGAUGUCUCUUGCUCCUCUGAGCACUGCCACCUCUGUUAGGCACCAGUGCUCAGCCUGCACAUCAUUGCCACUUUUGCUGGGGUCCAUGGUUUUCUCCUUCUGUUGAAGCAUUGGAGCCCUAGAGGGGCCAGGCAUGCUCUCUAUUCUCCAGAAUUUCACUGAUUUCAGGUACUCUGCUGUCAGGGAGAAUGCUUUUCUCUCUUUUGUGUUACUGUUAUUACCAUUAGAUGGUUUCUAGUGAGUUCUGAUUUGAUGGUCUUUAGCAAGAUAAUCUUUAACCUUUCUUUUCAAUUCCUCCCUCCUUGGGGUGAAGGGCAAACCCAAGUGACCCCAGAUUGUACUCAGAAUCCUCAGUCCUCUCCCAUGAUUGAAGUUUGUCUCUGGUCCAGUGUCGUUUUUCUGACUCACUCUCCCUUUGGGAGCUCCUCAUGCAAAUGCCAUUCCAGGGGCCUGCCUCCUCCCCUCCAUUGAGGAUGCUCAGAACUGGGGCUCAGCAAGAAAUGGACCCAGCAUAGAUUUAAACGAGGAAAUUCAAGAACAUCAAUAUUUAAGAAUAACGUAGACAAUAGUGUGACCUUUGGGGCUUAGACAUAAUAUUUUAGGGGCUAUUUUGAAGAGGUCUUCCGGAUCUCAGUGGUGUCCCUCCAAAGAUGAGCUCUUUAUAAUUCUACUCUGUCCUAUAUCCAAGCCAGUGCAGUACUGUGAAAAACGGCAUUAACAAAAUUCUAGGCUCUUACUGGAAACAAGCUCCUUCUUUCUUGUAAAUAAGUCUAUACAACACCUGUAAUAAGUUAGAGUCAGAAUGAUCUUUCUGUCAUGAUUCCAUUUUUUUAUACAACUCAUGUACCUCAAACUCCGCAGGAGUCAAUAAAAUAUGAUUCUGAAAUAAUACUGAAUUUUAAAGCUUAGUAUGCAGUGUGUGGAAAAAAUGCCUCACCAUUUUUCUUGCUGUCAUUUGAAGGUAUAGGUGUAGAUUCAUCACAAUAUUGGAAACACAUUUUGAAAAUGCCAAUAUCUCCAUCAGUUAUAGAUUUGUCAUAAUUAAUGCUGACAGCUCCUGCUGUACUAUUGUAUUCUUCACUCACACCAUUACUCCUCUCUCUGACACGCCGGACUGUGUUCACCUGCCUCAGUGUGGCUCUCUCUCCAGUGUUCUAUAUGCUUUCCCCUUCAACUUCCUACUGAGUGCCCUGGCCAUCCUCAGGCCAAACAGGGAAUUUCCAAACCAGUCUUCAUCC